rnacentral:rRNA from 1 species
AUCCAGACUCCUACGGGAGGCAGCAGUGGGGGAUAUUGCACAAUGGGGGGAACCCUGAUGCAGCGACGCCGCGUGGGUGAAGGAGCGUUUCGGCGCGUAAAGCCCUAUCGGCAGGGAAGAAGGAGGACGGCACCUGACUAAGAAGCCCCGGCUAACUACGUGCCAGCAGCCGCGGGAAUACGUAGGGGGCAAGCGUUAUCCGGAUUCACUGGGCGGAAAGGGAGCGCAGGCGGCACGGCAAGUCUGGUGUGAAAGCCCGGGGCCCAACCCCGGGACUGCAUUGGAAACUGCCGGGCUGGAGUGCCGGAGGGGUAAGCGGAAUUCCUGGUGUAGCGGUGAAAUGCGCAGAUAUCAGGAAGAACACCGGUGGCGUAGGCGGCUUACUGGACGGCAACUGACGCUGAGGCUCGAAAGCGUGGGGAGCAGACAGGAUUAGAUACCCCAGUA